GACGAACGCUGGCGGCGUGCUUAACACAUGCAAGUCGAACGGAAAGGCCCCUUUGGGGGUCCUCGAGUGGCGAACGGGUGAGUAACACGUGAGUAACCUGCCCUUGACUUCGGGAUAACUUCAGGAAACUGGGGCUAAUACCGGAUAGGAAUCCUUGCUGCAUGGUGGGGGUUGGAAAGCUUCGGCGGUUUUGGAUGGACUCGCGGCUUAUCAGCUUGUUGGUGGGGUAGUGGCUUACCAAGGCUUUGACGGGUAGCCGGCCUGAGAGGGCGACCGGCCACAUUGGGACUGAGAGACGGCCCAGACUCCUACGGGAGGCAGCAGUGGGGAAUAUUGCACAAGGGGCGGAAGCCUGAUGCAGCAACGCCGCGUGCGGGAUGACGGCCUUCGGGUUGGAAACCGCUUUCAGCAGGGGCGAAGCUUGUGGUGACGGUACCUGCAGAAGAAGCACCGGCUAACUACGUG
rnacentral:rRNA from 1 species